rnacentral:rRNA from 1 species
UACGUAGGGGGCAAGCGUUGUCCGGAAUCAUUGGGCGUAAAGCGUGUGUAGGCGGCCCGUUAAGUGUCCCGUGAAAUCCCUCGGCUCAACCGGGGAACUGCGUCCGAUACUGGUGGGCUCGAGUGCAGGAGAGGAACGCGGAAUUCCAGGUGUAGCGGUGAAAUGCGUAGAUAUCUGGAGGAACACCGGUGGCGAAGGUGGCGUUCUGGACUGCAACUGACACUGAGGAACGAAAGCCAGGGGAGCAAACGGG